GUUCCCUGUAACAAGAAAUUAACGGGUUAGACAUUAUCAAAACCACCACGGUAAGAGAGCAUCGAAGUGCUGGUAGGUGGAGACAAACGACAAACGGACUCAAGCGGGUCUCGCCGUGCACCGAGCUAUUUGGUGUUCUUUUUCCUUAGCUCGCUAAUCACGUAUCACAGGCCAACAUAUCAACAUAUCAAAGAGACCAUAGGACUCUGCAACAAAAUACAUGUCUGAUAAUCGCUGCUCAUUAUGUUGCGUGAUAUCUUGAGAUAUAGGUUAGCAGUGAAAGAAACUAUUCCGACCCUAUAUUAGUGUCAUUUCAUAGUUGGUAAACGAACACUGGUAGCGCAAGACGGACGGCUGUGCUGUCCUUCCUCCGUUAUCUCGACUCUUCGAACAAGUAAUCAUCGUGCUGCCAGAACUCUUCCAAAGUCGACUUAACAGUUAUCAAGUCAAUACUUUCCGUCAGCGUUUAACGGUUUGACGACGCACUCUAAAAAAAUCGGAAGUGGACUUGAAGUAGAAAGGGAAAGUGAGCUUUUUCGUACAAAAUCAGUGACAAUAUCUUAAAGUGAGAAGAAAGGAUAUAGAAUAAGUCUUUACUCGCGUGGAUUGUCGGCCAACUAAAAAACCAGAUCCAUGGAAAAGACGAUCUAAAAUUCUUGUUAAUGAAUUUACAAUUCUGUUUGGUGUAUAGAGGGCGUAUUUGCCAAAUUUGGACUCAAAAGGAAACGCUUUUUGACCUUCGUUUAUCAUUUGUCUGAUUCUCCUGGGAAUUCAGCGACAGCUCUCUCAUCACGCUCUGGGUGGCUACCUGUGUCUGGUUGAUCGACAAGAAGACCCGAUGCCCCAUCUGUCGAGGACCGAGAUAAAGCAAUUUGAAAGUAACUUGAGAAGAGUUAAAGAGUCAAAGAGCAAAACUCUUGUCGCUUUUAGCGAUGAGUUCACAUAAACAUAUUCAAAUAUAUAUAACGACUUGUACAUAAAAAAUAAUGCUGUAGUUUUAGGACUUUCUUUUGUUGCUUCUUUGCCGGGCUUCUUUGCGCCAAGACUAAUGAAGCCCAUUCUGCUACUCAAAAAUCUUUGUGACUGACGAAAAACUAGAUGAGCCCCCAUAAACCCCUACGAUAUUUUGUGCGUGCUAUUCGGCAUGAAAACUUAGGAAGCAUUUAGCUAAUAAUCUUAAACUGAAGCCCCAAAAAUGCCUAACAUUAUCAAUAUACUCAAGGUUGGUGGUAAUAGGCAAUGGGUUUGUUUCAGACUUUGAAUCGUUCGCAAACCCUUGAAAAUAAAGUUUGAACUUCACGCAAGCGAUGGAAGCCAUUCAUAAACCAUGUUCAUGAAACAGAAAUACUAAGAGGUAUAAAAUAAAAGGUUCAACGGUAACUGAAAAUAAAAAAAGAAAAUCGUUCGCAAACCCUUGAAAAUAAAGUUUGAACUUCACGCAAGCCGUGGAAGCCAUUCAUAAACCAUGUUCAUGCAGCAGAAAUACUAAGAGGUAUAAAAUAAAAGGUUCAACGGUAACUGACAAUAACAGAAGAGAAUUGGAAGGUUGAUGAAAUAAUGAGGCCUGAUGAUUGUGAUGAAGUUCAGGACAUUCGAUACUAAAGUUGGAUGGAAAAUGGGGAAAAUGGCCAUGGUUUUGGAAUCAGAGGUCAGUGCCUGAGAGCUGUUAAGCAA